UGGCGGAGUAGCUCAGUUGGCUAGAGCACGCGGUUCAUACCCGCGGUGUCAGGGGUUCAAAUCCCUUCUCCGCUAU
rnacentral:tRNA from 1 species